rnacentral:rRNA from 1 species
AACGAACGCUGGCGGCAUGCCUAACACAUGCAAGUCGAACGAGACCUUCGGGUCUAGUGGCGCACGGGUGCGUAACGCGUGGGAACCUGCCUUUAGGUUCGGAAUAACUCAGAGAAAUUUGAGCUAAUACCGGAUGAUGUCUUCGGACCAAAGAUUUAUCGCCUUUAGAUGGGCCCGCGUUGGAUUAGCUAGUUGGUGGGGUAAAGGCCUACCAAGGCGACGAUCCAUAGCUGGUCUGAGAGGAUGAUCAGCCACACUGGGACUGGGACACGGCCCAGACUCCUACGGGAGGCAGCAGUGGGGAAUAUUGGACAAUGGGCGAAAGACUGAUCCAGCAAUGCCGCGUGAGUGAUGAAGGCCUUAGGGUUGUAAAGCUCUUUUACCCGAGAUGAUAAUGACAGUAUCGGGAGAAUAAGCGCCGGCUAACUCCGUG